AACGAACGCUGGCGGCAGGCUUAACACAUGCAAGUCGAACGGACGUAGCAAUACGUUAGUGGCAGACGGGUGAGUAACGCGUGGGAAUGUGCCCUUUAGUUCGGAAUAACACAGAGAAAUUUGUGCUAAUACCGGAUAAGCCCGAGAGGGGAAAGAUUUAUCGCUGAAGGAGCAGCCCGCGUCUGAUUAGCUAGUUGGUGAGGUAAUGGCUCACCAAGGCGACGAUCAGUAGCUGGUCUGAGAGGAUGAUCAGCCACACUGGGACUGAGACACGGCCCAGACUCCUACGGGAGGCAGCAGUGGGGAAUAUUGGACAAUGGGGGCAACCCUGAUCCAGCCAUGCCGCGUGAGUGAUGAAGGCCUUAGGGUUGUAAAACUCUUUUGUCCGGGAAGAUAAUGACUGUACCGGAAGAAUAAGCCCCGGCUAACUUCGUGCCAGCCGCCGCAGUAAGAC
rnacentral:rRNA from 1 species